UCAUCUGCAGACAAAUCAGGGGGCGGAUGAAACAGAUCGACGCGAGCAAUGGCCAGGUGUACGCCGUGGAUUUUGGAGGGAAUGUCUUCACCAGAAGGAGCAAUUCGUGGUUCAGAGUCCCAGGAAGUAUGCUCCACGUCACCGUGGGUGCGACGGGGGUCUGGGGAGCAGGCAGGGACCGAGUACUUUAUCGUCAGGUUGAUGGCUCCUGGGCUAUCCUAGCAGGUCAGUCACCCUCUGUCUCUGUCUGUCUGUAUCCUAGCACAUCAGACAUCCUCUGUCUCUGUCUGUCUGUAUCCUAGCACGUCAGACAUCCUCUGUCUCUGUCUGUCUGUAUCCUAGCACGUCAGACAUCCUCUGUCGCUGUCUGUCUGUAUCCUAGCAGGUCAGACAUCCUCUGUCUCUAUCCCGUCUAUCUGUAUCCUAGCAGGUCAGUCAUUCUCUGUUUCUGUCUGUCGGUAUCCUAGCAGGUCAGUCAUCCUCUGUCUCUGUCCCUUCUGUCUUAUCCUAGCAGGUCAGACAUCCUCUGUCUCUGUCUGUCGGUAUCCUAGCAGGUCAGUCAUCCUCUGUCUCUGUCCCUUCUGUCUGUAUCCUAGCAGGUCAGUUAUCCUCUGUCUCUGUCUUUAUCUGUAUCCUAGCAGAUCAGUCAUCCUCUGUCUCUGUCUGUAUCCUAGCAGGUCAGUCAUCCUCUGUCUCUGUCUGUCUGUAUCGUAGCAGGUCAGUCAUCCUCUGUCUCUAUCCUAUCUGUCUGUAUCCUAGCAGGUGAGUCAUCCACUGUCUCUAUCCCGUCUGUCUGUAUCCUAGCAGGUCAGUCAUUCUCUGUCUCUGUCUGUCUGUAUCCUAGCAGGUCAGUCAUUCUCUGUCUGUGUCAGUCUGUUUUCUAGCAGGUCAGUCAUCCUCUGUCUCUGUCUGUCAGAAUCCUAGCAGGUCAGUCAUCCUCUGUCUCUGUCCCUUCUGUCUGUAUCCUAACAGGUCAGACAUCCUCUGUCUCUGUCUGUCUGUCUGUAUCCUAACAGGUCAGUCAUUCUCUGUCUGUGUCAGUCUGUUUUC